UACGGGGGGGGCAAGCGUUGUUCGGAAUUACUGGGCGUAAAGGGCUUGUAGGCGGCCAACUAAGUCCGACGUGAAAUCCCCAGGCUUAACCUGGGAACUGCGUCGGAUACUGGAUGGCUUGAAUUCGGGAGAGGGAUGCAGAAUUCCAGGUGUAGCGGUGAAAUGCGCAGAUAUCAGGAGGAACACCGGUGGCGAAGGCGGGUCUCUGGGCCGAUACUGACGCUGAGGAGCGAAAGCGUGGGGAGCGAACAGG
rnacentral:rRNA from 1 species